rnacentral:rRNA from 1 species
AUACGGAGGAUGCAAGCGUUAUCCGGAUUUAUUGGGUUUAAAGGGUGCGUAGGCGGUUUGCUAAGCGGGAGGUGAAAUGCCGGCGCUCAACGUCGGAAGUGCCUCCCGAACUGGUGGACUUGAAUGACUCUGCCGUGGGAGGAAUGUGUAGGGUAGCGGUGAAAUGCUUAGAGAUUACACAGAACACCGAUUGCGAAGGCAUCUCACGAAGGGUUGAUUGACGCUGAGGCACGAAAGCGUGGGGAUCAAACAGGAUUAGAUACCCUGGUAGUCCACGCAGUAAACGAUGAUGGCUAACCGCUGGGCUUAUCAGUUCAGUGGCCAAGCGAAAGCGAUAAGCCAUCCACCUGGGGAGUACGACCGCAAGGUUGAAACUCAAAUGAAUUGACGGGG